GAUGAACGCUAGCGGGAGGCCUAACACAUGCAAGCCGAGCGGUAUUGUUUCUUCGGAAAUGAGAGAGCGGCGUACGGGUGCGGAACACGUGUGCAACCUGCCUUUAUCUGGGGGAUAGCCUUUCGAAAGGAAGAUUAAUACUCCAUAACAUAUUGAUUGGCAUCAAUUAAUAUUGAAAGCUCCGGCGGAUAGAGAUGGGCACGCGCAAGAUUAGCUAGUUGGUGAGGUAACGGCUCACCAAGGCGAUGAUCUUUAGGGGGCCUGAGAGGGUGAUCCCCCACACUGGUACUGAGACACGGACCAGACUCCUACGGGAGGCAGCAGUGGGGAAUAUUGGUCAAUGGGUGCAAGCCUGAACCAGCCAUCCCGCGUGAAGGACGACUGCCCUAUGGGUUGUAAACUUCUUUUGUAUAGGGAUAAACCUACCCUCGUGAGGGUAGCUGAAGGUACUAUACGAAUAAGCACCGGCUAACUCCGUGCCAGCAGCCGCGGUAAUACGGAGGGUGCAAGCGUUAUCCGGAUUUAUUGGGUUUAAAGGGUCCGUAGGCGGACUUAUAAGUCAGUGGUGAAAGCCUGUCGCUUAACGAUAGAACUGCCAUUGAUACUGUAAGUCUUGAGUAUAUUUGAGGUAGCUGGAAUAAGUAGUGUAGCGGUGAAAUGCAUAGAUAUUACUUAGAACACCAAUUGCGAAGGCAGGUUACCAAGAUAUAACUGACGCUGAGGGACGAAAGCGUGGGGAGCGAACAGGAUUAGAUACCCUGGUAGUCCACGCCGUAAACGAUGCUAACUCGUUUUUGGGCUUUAGGGUUCAGAGACCAAGCGAAAGUGAUAAGUUAGCCACCUGGGGGGUACGCUCGCAAGGGUGAAACUCAAAGGAAUUGACGGGGGCCCGCACAAGCGGUGGAUUAUGUGGUUUAAUUCGAUGAUACGCGAGGAACCUUACCAAGACUCAAAUGGGAAUUGACAGCUUUAGAAAUAGAGCUUUCUUCGGACAAUUUUCAAGGUGCUGCAUGGUUGUCGUCAGCUCGUGCCGUGAGGUGUUAGGUUAAGUCCUGCAACGAGCGCAACCCCUGUCACUAGUUGCCAUCAUUCAGUUGGGGACUCUAGUGAGACUGCCUACGCAAGUAGAGAGGAAGGUGGGGAUGACGUCAAAUCAUCACGGCCCUUACGUCUUGGGCCACACACGUAAUACAAUGGCCGGUACAGAGGGCAGCUACACAGCGAUGUGAUGCAAAUCUCGAAAGCCGGUCUCAGUUCGGAUUGGAGUCUGCAACUCGACUCUAUGAAGCUGGAAUCGCUAGUAAUCGCGCAUCAGCCAUGGCGCGGUGAAAACGUUCCCGGGCCU
rnacentral:rRNA from 1 species